CUUGCUUCAGCAACACAUACUAAAACUGGACCGAUACGGAGAAGAUUAUCAUGGGCCCUGUGCAAGGAUGACACACAGAUUUGUGAAAUGUUCCAUAUUAAA